GACGAACGCUGGCGGCGUGCCUAAUACAUGCAAGUAGGACGCACAGUUUAUACCGUAGCUUGCUACACCAUAGACUGUGAGUUGCGAACGGGUGAGUAACGCGUAGGUAACCUACCUAUUAGAGGGGGAUAACUAUUGGAAACGAUAGCUAAUACCGCAUAACAGUAUGUAACACAUGUUAGAUGCUUGAAAGAUGCAAUUGCAUCGCUAGUAGAUGGACCUGCGUUGUAUUAGCUAGUAGGUAGGGUAAUGGCCUACCUAGGCAACGAUACAUAGCCGACCUGAGAGGGUGAUCGGCCACACUGGGACUGAGACACGGCCCAGACUCCUACGGGAGGCAGCAGUAGGGAAUCUUCGGCAAUGGGGGGGACCCUGACCGAGCAACGCCGCGUGAGUGAAGAAGGUUUUCGGAUCGUAAAGCUCUGUUGUUAAGGAAGAACGAGUGUGAGAAUGGAAAGUUCAUGCUGUAACGGUACUUAACCAGAAAGGGACGGCUAACUACGUGCCAGCAGCCGCGGUAAUACGUAGGUCCCGAGCGUUGUCCGGAUUUAUUGGGCGUAAAGCGAGCGCAGGCGGUUAGAAAAGUCUGAAGUGAAAGGCAGUGGCUCAACCAUUGUAGGCUUUGGAAACUGUUUAACUUGAGUGCAGAAGGGGAGAGUGGAAUUCCAUGUGUAGCGGUGAAAUGCGUAGAUAUAUGGAGGAACACCGGUGGCGAAAGCGGCUCUCUGGUCUGUAACUGACGCUGAGGCUCGAAAGCGUGGGGAGCGAACAGG
rnacentral:rRNA from 1 species